rnacentral:tRNA from 1 species
AGAAGCUUAGGAUAUAAAGUCCAAGGGCCUUCAAAGCCCUAAGAAAAUUAUCAAAUUUAGCUUCUGC